GGGGGUGUAGCUCAAUGGUAGAGCACCUGCCUGGCAUGCACAAAAUGCUCAAGGCCCCUGAGUUCAAUCCUCAGCACUACAA
rnacentral:tRNA from 1 species